rnacentral:lncRNA from 1 species
ACACCUGGAUGUGCUCACUCAACCAAGAAUAUAGAGACAGAGCCUCUGCCCUGAGACUCAGAGAAACGCUCUCCUGUGCCUCCCUCCGCUCAGUAUAGAUUUCUAGACCCUGAUCAUUGCUUAAGAGAUAUUCACCGGGGUCCUACGUCUCUGCAAUUUGUGUAUGAAUAACAGAAUAAUUUCCCUCUUUUGUUUCGCCUUUCCUGUUCCUGAAUCUAAAUAAAGAUGGCUUUUUAGUAUUAAAAGUGGAAGAAAAUUACAGGUAAUUAUCUUUGACGGUAAAAACGCUGUAAUCAGCGGGCUACAUGAAAAAUUACUCUAAUUAUGGCUGCAUUUAAGAGAAUGGAAAAAAACCUUCUUGUGGAUAAAAACCUUAAAUUGUCCCCAAUGUCUGCUUCAAAUUGGAUGGCACUGCAGCUGGAGGCUUUGUUCAGAAUUGAUCCUGGGGAGCUACGAACCCAAAGUUUCACAGUAGGAAGGGGGAAAAAAGAAAAGAAAACAUUUUUCCUAAUGUAACAAUGCGAAUGCUAGAAAAUGACAAGACUGAUCGGUUUUAAACCAUUCUGAAGACUGACUGAGCGUGGAAGUUGCUCAACAAAAAAGGGAACGGGGAUAUUGAUUCUGGUAAUCUAGACUUUCAUGGGUUCAAGCUCCAUUUACAAUUUGUCAUUAUGCCAUGGGAGUGUUCGUGUCACUGUGAUGGUUACUAUUCUAUUUCUGUAAAGAGACACCAUGUCUAUUAAAAAGAGCAUAUAAUUGGAGGCUUGAUUACAGUUUCAGAUGAACCAGAGAGAAACCUACGCCCAGAAGAACAUGUCCCUGGAUUGCUUUCCCACUGCUGUGGAGUGUCUUGAACACUGGUCCCUGGACACCAACUUCAAGAAGACUUCAUGGAUGGCUGUCCAGUCUUAUGAGCCACAGUUUCCCCUCUACAUUUUCUUCACUCCAGCGAGGCUCUUAUCAGGGUCAGAUCAGAGAUGAACCAGCUGGACGACAGAUUGGAGCGCUGACCUCUUAGAGUGCUAACAGUGAACAGUGUGGGGUCAGAUCUAUAGAAAGAUAAUAAUAAGAAAACACCCUAUAUGCAAGGGAGAGGGAUGGUUCAUAAUUUCUUAAAGAUUGAAAUCAAGGAACAAUCAAAAUAUAGAAGAAUGUGGACGUGUUUUGCUGCAGGACUUCUGUUUUGUCCCCAUUGGAAUAUGUAUUAUGGUAUUCCUGUUGGAUCAGGACUCAGGGGCAAGGCUAAGCAUUCCAGUGGUCCUCCUACUUAGCUCUUGUCCUUUCGUAAGAAACACCAACUCAUUAGUCUCUAUAUUACUUCUCUGUACUGUAGAUCUGCAUUCUUGAUCUGAGAGAUAUUGGCAAUGACACUCUUGUAUGAUAAAGCUCAAUGAUAAGAGUACUUCAAACCCCCUUGAACUUUUUGUUUAUACAUCAAGUGGUGACAUUGUGUAUUGAGCUAAUUAGAUCAAUGGAGUCACAGGGUGAUACUGAACUCUUUUAAAAUAUUUGGCUGAAACAUGACAUUGUAGUUAUUUGUAGAAGAGAACAUUAUGGAAUAUGAAAAACAUCACAGAACACAGAACUAGCAGCAGAAACUAGCAGCAGGUAGACAUUUUUCCUUUUCCAUAGAGCUUUCAACCAAAUGUCUCUGUAGAAAAUAGUGGCUAUCGUGUAUAUAUAUAGCCACAUAGAUGUCCUUGAGUGUACCCUGUAGUCAGUGGGAGAGUUCCUACUGCCACAGUCAUGGCCAUGGCUAUGUUCUCUAAGCCUACAUUUUAUAAACACUCUGUGAAUCUUGACUACUUUUCUUUAGCAAGCAUUGCAAAGUCCUGGGAUGUCAGAGAAGUGCCUGGGGUUGGCAGGGUUUCUAGAGAGGAAAUUGUUAAAUGAUUUGAACCAGAAAACAAACAGGGGAUGGGGUUCAGAACCAACAAUUACCUCUAUUCUAUGUAGGAAACCACAACAUGAAAUAUGCUGGGCAUGGAAACUUUGAUACCUUGGUUUUUCAUUCUUUUUAAAAAUUAAUACUAAAGAGCUAUGCGACUGUAGGCAAGCCAUUUCCCAUCCCCUGUGAAUAUCUCCCAGAUGACUUUAAAUCCCUUCUAGUUCUGAAAGGCUUUUAACAUCAGGGCCCAGGCUCCAGUGGCCAGUUUCAAAAUACCCUCCCUUUUGAUGUUAGGUUACAUAAACAUUGUUCUUUUUUAGGGAGGGUCUCUUUUAUCAACUUUUAAAAACACACAUCAGGUUCUCUGGUAUUAAAAAGAUGCCAUCUCUGAGUCCCCUACUAUCUGUGCUGCCUGCCUUUCCUCCUGUUCUUUCCUUAUUCCCAUCCCUAUUGAACUUGUGCUAUGCAGUAUGCAUCAGGUAUGUGUUAGCUUUGGGGAUACAUGAUAGAUAAACUGGACACACAGGGUCUUCCCAUUCUCUUCUGGAAUUUUCUUUGGAGGGAGCCUCUUGUAUCUAGACAGACCGUGCUGUGGUACCCCAGAGGUAACCACCUACAGGCUUCACUCUGCCUAAGCAAUUUUGCUGUGCACUAAGAUACACAUUCAAGUAACUUUAGAUUACCACAAUAACUUUCUCCAGGUAUGAGGAAAAGAGAUAAUUUACUUCUGAGAUGUGUAUAGGAUAGCCCUCCAUCCUGGGAAGAACAGUGACUACUCCCUGCAUCCCGACCUUGCCCAGGGAAAGCUAAUGUUUCUCUGUGUUAUCCCUGUGACUUGCCACUUCUUUAAAAAGGAAUGGGCAAACAAUAAACAGACAAAAAUGUUGUCUGACCUCAUUGGAAAUCCUUUUAAGAAUUAAUCCUUUCUAUCUCCUUCAUUAUCAACAAAUCUAUUGAAUACUUAUCUCUGAGUCCAGGGCAUAUUUUAUAAUACAUAAAACAAUGGAAUUUCAAAAUUGGAGCACUGACAUACAAUAUUGGUUUUGAGUAUUUUUAUUAUAGGGAAUGACUUUAGACAUUGCAAUUUAUGACUUAACUGAUAAAAUGGAUGACUCUUGACUUUCAAUUUUCAUUUUCAGUUCAGUCGAGGAAUAGCUUCCUCCAGGUAAUGUCUAUACUUUCCUAUGACUAAGGGCUCUAACUAUCUCUGUUGCUUUUCUUUAUGUAGGCAUAUGUUAGUAUUUAUUUUCUAUAUGACAAAUGUAUUAAAGAAAGCAUGAAAUUAAUGAGAUAAACUUUUCAGAUAGGAGUUUAGAAAAUCAAGGGGCCAAGAUAAAUAAAUGAAAAAUCAACUUAAAUAAUUAACAUAUUCCAGAUAUAUUGGAAUAAAUGUUUAUUGUACCCUU